CGGGGGGGGUGCGGGGCUGGGAGCGGCAGCGGGGCCUGGCGGGAGCUGAGGGGGCCCCGAGGCGGCGGGUGCCCGUGGGGGCCGCGGCUUCGUCCCCUGCGGGUGGUUCCCGGCCUCUCGCGGCGGGGCGGGCUGAGGGCGCGCAGCCUGGGCGCCUGCCCUCCGCCGGGACCCCGCUGCCCCCCGGCCCCAGCCGCCGCUCCUUCCAGGAGGCUUUAUCCCUGUUGAUAACCUGGCAAGAGUAUUUAAACAGAUGAUACCAUCUUCCUGCUCUUAUUGCUGGAGUGGCUGCAAAGAUGAUGACUGCAUAUGUGAGCAGAUGAACUUCCAACACUGAAAAUAGUAAACAUCUCUCCCAGCCAUUCUUCAAGGAGGUAGAUAGAUGUUCUGGGUGUCACAGGACUCCUUCCACCGCUGCUGCACCUUCUCUUCUACAUUCUCUGAUUCAAGAAAGCUCAGAAGAAGAUGCUGGUGUCAGGAGAACUGCACUGAAGGCCUAUCUGGACAGGACAGAGUCCCCAGUUGUUGGAGCUGGAGCGUCUGCCAGCCCUGACGAAGGGGCGACGUGGGGCUGUACAGUUGUCCCUGCAGAAGCAGAGGGGGUCA